rnacentral:tRNA from 1 species
GGGGAUUUGGCUCAGCGGUAGAGCACUUGCCUAGGAAGCGCAAGGUCCUGGGUUCGAUCCCCAGCCCUG